AGCAGUUCAGGAUGCCAGACAUGAGUUCUGUGAUGGGGAAACCAGAGAUUUCGGCCGCAGCUGCUGGAGCUCAGGACGAAGAAGAGGAAGAGGUGGAUGAAACCGGGGUGGAACCUAGGGACAUUGAUUUGGUCAUGACGCAGGCUGGGGUAUCGAGGAGCAAGGCCGUCAAGGCACUCAAGACUCACAGCGGGGACAUUGUCAGCGCUAUCAUGGAGCUCACCACUUAACUGGCCAAAAUCGUAGUUUUCCUCAAGCUCAUUGUUUCCCUAAUGAGUGUUUCGAAUCAGUGUCGUGUCGGUCAUUGGGAUUUUUAGCUCAAUCGGAAGCCCGUCUAUGUGGAUCUGGAUUAUGCUUCUCUUUUUCUUUUGUGGACUCAAAACAUUGGCUGUGAUCGCCGUCAGGUUUUCUGAUGUACUUCACUCCCGAGUCAUGAGUUAUUAAAGGUUUCUAUUGUCAUUUUUAAUUCUUUCACAUGAGAGUUGUCUGCUUCAUGGAUAAGGACGUAGGAUUGCCACUAGUACUAAUGAUAUUUUUCUCUACCUGUAAGCGAGAUGUUUUAGCUUUGAUAACGAGUUUAUAACUAGUCGAUUCAAAUUAUAGUGUCUAUAGGGUUAUUUGUCGUUUAGCGUGGUUAUGUUGUCAUUUGGUGUUACAGUUUAAUAAGGGGUCUUAGGUUUGACUUUCAAAGAUGAACUCUUGCCAAAAGGAAAGCGUUUUUUGACAUUCAUUCUCUCUGUGUACACUUUUGUUUGCUUAUGACUUUCGGUUUAGUUAAAUCAAAGGAGAAUCAAUAUGAUGUUCAAUUAAGUUAAAUUAAAGAAGAACUAAUAAACAAAAACAAGCAGUGAAGAACGGAGUUAGAAACCAGAGCGUGUGCGAAAAUCGUUUUCCUAUAAGAAAAUAACGCAGGUGAUUUAAUGAUUGGGCUUGGUGGUGCCGCCAAAAACUAGCGGCCCAUUCCGAAACCGAAACCCUUUGCCCUCGCGAAUCAUCACGUCUCGGUCUCUAUACACCGCUGCGCCUGCGUGGUGGUAGCCGAAUUGCUACUCUUCAGUCUUCAUAUUUAUCAGUUUCAGAGCUUCUAGAUCUCCGCCACCAAACCCGAAACAUGUCACCGGCUCCACUGGUUCAGCCAGAGGCCGGCGCCGCCGUCGAAGAGGUUCUCUCCGCUGAACAGCUCCUCAAGAACUCUAAUCAGGUAAAGCUCCGCCCUUUAUUUAAAGUAUCCAUUUUCUGUUUGGUUCAUAUAUAUGUUUUUUUUAAUUCGGUGCUGCGAAUGUUGUCAGAACAAGGAAGAAGAGGAAGUCGUGGUCGAGGACGUCAAGGACGACGACAAUGACGACGACGACGAGGAGGAUGACGACGACGAAGACAAGGAAGACGGCGGUCAAGGUUUGUUCUUUUUUUGUUGUUGUUCUUAUCCUUUCGAUAACUUGUAGUUUUGGAUUUGUCAUGAAUGUCUUUGCGCUUUUUAAAGGCAUGUUUGAUUGGUAGGAGCAUAAAGACGGUGAAAAUAUUAGAUUUUUGCAUAAGCUAUGAAAAUAAUGAGAGCGGUUGGCACAACAAAAAGGUUGCUUCUUUGUGACUGAAAUGUCAUGGGUCGUGGAAACAACCUCUUUUCAAAGCGGAGUCUUGUUGGCUUGGGGUUGCCUUAUGGAAAUAAUGAGGGCAAAUCACGUAGCUUGUUUGAUUUUGAUGUUAAUUUUGAAAUGUUUUGGAUGGAACCCAAAAGUCGAAUCGUAGUUCUGUUUGUUCUAAACUAUAAAGAUUCAAACUUUUUCAUUCAUUUAUACAGUACUUUUGCCGCUUAAUCACAAUGAAUAUGUAUUAUAUCCUGUGUUGUCCUUCGAGUGAUGUUAAUUCGACGUAACAGAUGGAAAUGAGUCAUCGAAACAGAGCAGAAGCGAGAAGAAGAGUCGGAAGGCAAUGCUGAAGCUGGGUAUGAAGCCUGUUACUGGUGUUAGCAGGGUGACAAUCAAGAAGACCAAAAACGUAAGUUGAUGUUUGAUUUCCGGUUCGUGAAAUUGAGAUAUGGUUAUGUGAUGGUCGAUGUUCAUUGGUUGUUCUUUUUUAUGUAUUUCAGAUAAUAUUUGUCAUAUCGAAACCUGAUGCCUUCAAGAGUCCAAACUCUGAUACCUAUGUCAUAUUUGGCGAGGCCAAGAUCGAGGAUUUGAGCUCUCAGCUGCAGACACAGGCUGCCCAGCAGUUCAGGAUGCCGGACAUGAGUUCUGUGAUGGGAAAACCAGAGAUUUCUGGAGCAGCUGCUGGACCUCAGGCAGAUGAAGAAGAGGAAGAGGUUGAUGAAACCGGGGUGGAACCUAAGGACAUUGAUUUGGUCAUGACACAAGCUGGGGUGUCAAGGAGCAAGGCCGUCAAGGCUCUCAAGACACACAGCGGGGACAUUGUCAGCGCUAUCAUGGAACUCACCACUUAAUUGUUUUCCUCGCGCUCAUUGUCAGUUGAU
rnacentral:lncRNA from 1 species